AUUGAACGCUGGCGGCAUGCUUUACACAUGCAAGUCGAACGGUAACAGGUUAAGCUGACGAGUGGCGAACGGGUGAGUAAUGCAUCGGAACGUGCCCGGUCGUGGGGGAUAACACCUCGAAAGAAGUGCUAAUACCGCAUACGAUCUGAGGAUGAAAGCGGGGGACCGUAAGGCCUCGCGCGAUCGGAGCGGCCGAUGUCAGAUUAGGUAGUUGGUGGGGUAAAGGCUCACCAAGCCGACGAUCUGUAGCUGGUCUGAGAGGACGACCAGCCACACUGGGACUGGGGCGCGGCCCAGACUCCUACGGGAGGCAGCAGUGGGGAAUUUUGGACAAUGGGCGCAAGCCUGAUCCAGCAAUGCCGCGUGCAGGAAGAAGGCCUUCGGGUUGUAAACUGCUUUUGUACGGAGCGAAAAGGCUCUCUCUAAUACAGGGGGCUCAUGACGGUACCGUAAGAAUAAGCACCGGCUAACUACGUGCCAGCCGCCGCCGUAA
rnacentral:rRNA from 1 species